CAUUGUUGAUGUCAUCGACCAGAACCGAGUAUGUAGUUCUAUACAUUUCUGUUCAAUUAAAAGAGAAAUCAUAUUCGGGACUCUUUUGAAUUAUAUUGACUUAACAACCAAUCAAACUUGGGUCUUCAAAUUGUUCCGUAAUCUAAUGGAAGAAGGCCUCUACGGGUAACCAAUUGUACCAUAUGUAAUGAUACAAUACUUAUAUGCUAAUGGAGGAUUGCUUCGGUGUUUUUGCAUUGUUCCCUAAUUUUGUUAUUUGGUUGUCUCUAGCAAUAUCUCUGUUUUUACUUACUAUAGAAUUUUAGCAUCAGCGCG
rnacentral:misc_RNA from 1 species